rnacentral:lncRNA from 1 species
GAGGCUACGUUUUCUUCGGCGUGUAGAGGGAGCUUUCCUGUGGAUGGGUAUGGUGGCGAUCGUUGGCGGAGAACUUCGUUGCCACAGACAGGCCUAGAUUACAGAUGUGCCUCUGGAUUUUAAAAAGAGCAUCAUCAUCAUCACCACUGUCGUCAUCAUCAUCUAUGUGGGGGAGUACUGAUAUUUUGCCUGCAUAUAUGCCUGAGUACCACAUUUGUGAGUUAGACAGUUGUGAGACACCAUGUGUGUGCUGAGAACUGAACCUGGGUCCUCCGGAAGGGUAGAGUCAGUACUCUCAAUGCGGCUUUCUCGACAGAUUCUGAACAACAGUUUUCAACUUAGAGCUUUGAAGAUGAUAGAAGUCCAGAAUAUUCAAAGCUAAUCUGAAUAUUAGAAUGAGCAAUAGGAAGAUCCAUGUCUGGUGGGCAAAAAGGCCCAAAGAAAAUGAAAGAAUACACCAUGCAGAGCUGCUGGUAAGUAACCAUGGGGCAUAUAGAAAACCAUCAGGUUUUUAUGGGGCAAAACAAUGAACUUGACAAAAGGAACUUGGAAAAUUUAGUAAUCAUAGGAUAAAUGGGAAAUCUGUCAAAUAAAAAGGUUCAUGGAAGCAAUAUUUUUUUUCUAGAGCAA